AGUGAACGCUGGCGGUAGGCCUAACACAUGCAAGUCGAACGGCAGCACAGUAAGAGCUUGCUCUUACGGGUGGCGAGUGGCGGACGGGUGAGGAAUACAUCGGAAUCUACUUUUUCGUGGGGGAUAACGUAGGGAAACUUACGCUAAUACCGCAUACGACCUACGGGUGAAAGCAGGGGAUCUUCGGACCUUGCGCGAUUGAAUGAGCCGAUGUCGGAUUAGCUAGUUGGCGGGGUAAAGGCCCACCAAGGCGACGAUCCGUAGCUGGUCUGAGAGGAUGGUAAGCCACACUGGAACUGAGACACGGUCCAGACGCCUACGGGAGGCAGCGGUGGGGAAUAUUGGACAAUGGGCGCAAGCCUGAUCCAGCCAUACCGCGUGGGUGAAGAAGGCCUUCGGGUUGUAAAGCCCUUUUGUUGGGAAAGAAAAGCAGCAGGUUAAUACCCCGCUGUUCUGACGGUACCCAAAGAAUAGGCACCGGCUAACUUCGUG
rnacentral:rRNA from 1 species